rnacentral:lncRNA from 1 species
GCCCCUCCACAUAAAAACACGCAGACCCUAAAGCGGAUUGGGUCAGAUUCGGGUUGGGUACUCAAAACGACGUCGUUUUGGGCGUCUGAGGGUUCCCCAAAACGGUACCGUUUUGGUACCCUGUAAAAGCCCCUAACCUAAAAAAAAAAUCAUUUCAAAACUGAUUUUUAAAAAAAAACUUAAAAAAACUCUCCCUCCCCCAGUCCGUCCGGCCAGGGGUCCGACCAUCGACCGGUCGUCGGCCACCGUGUCAGCCACUGAUCUCCGGCACUUGCACCGUCGUCUACGGUGGCCGGAAAAGGGAAAAUCCCCUUUUUAUCAUUUUUGCACCCCUCUAGGCCCAAAUCUGGGCUAAAAAUUUCCAAAAUCAGCGAAAAAACUAGAAAACCCCCAGAAACCUUUCGGCAUCUAGUCGUCUGUCAUUGGAGACGAUCCUAGGCCUUCCUUUCAGCAUUUCAGAAGCCAAAAAGGUAGUUUCCUUCACUUCUAUUAUUUUUGUUUAUUCGUACGUAAAAUAAAAAUAUAAAAAUAAAUAUAACAACAAAGAAACAAGUAUCAACAUUUUUUUUGACCGAUUUAUUCUUUGUAUUGCGAAAGUAGAAGUCUUUUUUCUAUUUGAUUUUUUUUCGAUCCCCCCUUACAGUAUGUUAAAGGCCUUUUUAUAGCCAUUAAUUAAAAACAAAGAAACAAAUCAUGCUUGAUAUCUUCUUGAUCUGCAAAUCCUUUGAUUUAGUUUCCUUUUUUGUGCUUAUUUCUUGCAGGUGAAGGUGCGGAGAUCCGACUUGUACAAGCUAAGUGGCUGCGGCGUGAGGCUUCCUCUGAAACCCUAGGGUUUCUGAAAUUGUUUUGGGCCUGGGUCUAAUUUUGGGCCUCUGUUUGUUUCAGUCUGUUUGUAAUUUGGGCCUUUUACCCUGGCCAAAAUCGGGUGUUACACAAAUAUAU